rnacentral:rRNA from 1 species
UUGCAAUACACGAAAGUGUGACAGGGUCAUCCCGAGUGCCGACCGCUGAGGUUGGCUUUUACCUAGUCUAGAAAGCUGGGGGAAUAAGGAGAGGGCAAGUCUGGUGUCAGCCGCCGCGGUAAUACCAGCUCUCCGAGUGGUGUGGACGUUUAUUGGGCCUAAAGCAUCCGUAGCUGGCUGUUCAAGUCCCCUGUUAAAUCCACCGAUUUAAUCGUUGGCUUGCGGGGGAUACUGUUCGGCUAGGGGGCGAGAGAGGCAGACGGUAUUCCCGGGGUAGGGGUGAAAUCCUAUAAUCCCGAGAAGACCACCAGUGGCGAAGGCUGUCUGCUAGAACGCGCCCGACGGUGAGGGAUGAAAGCUGGGGGAGCGAACCGG